GGGGGGGGCUUAAAGUCGCCAAGCUAACCUUCGGGAGGGCGCCGACCACGGUGUGGUCAAUGACUGGGGUGAAGUCGUAACAAGGUAGCCGUAGGUGAACCUGCAGAAGGAUCA
rnacentral:rRNA from 1 species